CUGAAAACACCGGUUCUUCUUCUAUCACCGAAGUUAAGCAGCCUCGAGCUUGGUCAGUAUUUAGAUGGAUGACCUCUUGAGAAUUCCGGGUACUGCAAG